AUUGAACGCUGGCGGCAGGCCUAACACAUGCAAGUCGAACGAGUGGCGGACGGGUGAGUAAUGUCUGGGAAACUGCCUGAUGGAGGGGGAUAACUACUGGAAACGGUAGUUAAUACCGCAUACCAUCGGAUGUGCCCAGAUGGGAUUAGCUAGUAGGUGGGGUAACGGCUCAACUAGGCGACGAUCCCUAGCUGGUCUGAGAGGAUGACCAGGCACACUGGGAACGAGACACGGUCCAGAAUCCUACGGGAGGGAGGCGUGGGGAAUAUUGCCCAAUGGGCGGCAGGCUGAUGCAGCCAUGCCGCGUGUAUGAAGGAGGCCUUCGGGUUGUAAAGUACUUUCAGCGGGGAGGCGUUACCCGCAGAAGAAGCACCGGCUAACUCCGUGCCAGCCGCCGCGGUAAUAC
rnacentral:rRNA from 1 species